rnacentral:rRNA from 1 species
AGCGAACGCUGGCGGCAGGCUUAACACAUGCAAGUCGAGCGGGCCCUUCGGGGUCAGCGGCGGACGGGUGAGUAACGCGUGGGAACGUGCCCUCUGGUCUGGAAUAACCCUGGGAAACUAGGGCUAAUACCGGAUACGCCCUUUUGGGGAAAGGCUUGCUGCCGGAGGAUCGGCCCGCGUCUGAUUAGCUAGUUGGUGGGGUAACGGCCUACCAAGGCGACGAUCAGUAGCUGGUCUGAGAGGAUGAUCAGCCACACUGGGACUGAGACACGGCCCAGACUCCUACGGGAGGCAGCAGUGGGGAAUAUUGGACAAUGGGCGCAAGCCUGAUCCAGCCAUGCCGCGUGAGUGAUGAAGGCCUUAGGGUUGUAAAGCUCUUUUAUCCGGGACGAUAAUGACGGUACCGGAGGAAUAAGCCCCGGCUAACUUCGUGCCAGCAGCCGCCGUAA